AGCUCUCGCUCCCAUCAUCCAAUCAGCAGAAGGCUUGAGAAUGGCGGAGACUCCAGACAUGAAGAACCUGGACGAGCAACAAAACUAUGCUCUGGCGAACAACAGCGACCCGAAAAAUGUCCAAGAGCUGACAACUUAUGUGCAAACUUUGUUGCAGCAGAUGCAGGAUAGAUUUCAAACCAUGUCCGACCAAAUCAUCACAAGAAUUGAUGAAAUGGGAAACCGAAUUGACGACCUGGAGAAGAAUAUCGCUGAUCUAAUGACACAGGCUGGCGUUGAGGGUCCAGACAAGUAACACUUUUCUGCGGGCCUUGACAUCAUCAUCAUUUUUAGAUUGAUCACCGCCAGUCAAUUUCACUGCACAGUUGAAGUGUUUCGCAAUAACUUAUUUUCCUUCCACAUGUUGUGCACCCACGGCAUCUCUUUUAAUAUUUAAUUAAGUGAAUAACUGGACUAAUUACUUACCUGCAGGUUGCACCUCUUCAUCUGUCGAAAUUGUUUCCUCUGUUGACUCUUCGUCCUCGGUAUCCGUUGCUAUGGUCAGCCUUGUCACCUUCGAGUCUCCAGGCAAGCUCCUCCGAGACAAACUUUUGCUUUCCUAAAUUAAACUAUUAUCAUUUUCAUUUUUAGCUAAAAUAGUAUUAAACUUGCCAGUGUUUUUGAUGGCGGGCUUGAAACGUUGCCCAUAGAUUUUGACAAGCUCAUCUUAGAACUUUUUUCCAAGCUUGACUUGUUCGAGCCCAUCAGUAUAUUUGCUAUUGACCUGAAGCUUGACUUUUUCUCUUUUAUCACUGUUGGCUCCCUGAGGGCUUUACGGAAAUCCUUUAAUUAGGGCAUUUUUAAUAAUUAUAAAUUAUAAUGCUUUUAAAAUAUCUUCUAAAUUUUACUUCCAAGUCUUGCUCUUCGUCGAUAGCUUGCAAAUCCUUGUAGGCUUUUGUGAGCAAUUCCAUUUCCUGCGCAUGGAGAGCCAUUUCCGAUAUCACCAAAUUUUUUAGAGCUUUGGUUGUGACGCUCAGCUUGAGAGAUUCAAAAGAGUCCAUCUGUUCCUCAAGUGAUCUCAAAGUCCUUGAAACAUCAGCACUUGCUCGGGCCAGGUCUGUUUCUGCCAUGAGCUAAAAAUAUUCACUACUUGUGAGAAAGUUAAAUUUUUCAAAGCAAAUAUGUCUACAAUUUUCUGUCUGUUCCUUGGGUUUCUUUGUCGAAUCUUCUCCACAUUUCUCUUCCUGGUCAGCUCUUUUUCUUUCGCAGCAAGGGACAACUUGACGCUUUCUCUCACUUCCCUACACUGAGCUCCGAUUGACGAGAAAGGCUCCAAUAUUUGAGAUUCAAAUCUUUUUAAGAAUAUCUCCCUUAAACAAGAUUUAUAAUUUAAAAAAUUUAGUUAAAUCUGUUAUCGAUUUUGAGCAUCUCACCUAUUAUCUGCUAUCACAGAAAAAGAAUUUGCAAACUCUUGCAAUCCAGCAUUGGUACUUUUAUUCACCUCUUCAGCUUCAGUAUUUCUAGUUAAUGUCAUCACCACUUCAUCUGUUUGAUCUCGAAUUCUGAUAAUUGUAGCAGCCAAAAUCCAAAUAGUUAAAUUUGAUAUUAUUUUUAACAAAACCUACUUUGAAUAGUUUUUAGCAUAGCCACCCAAAGUUUGACAAAGGUCUCCCAUCUGCCUCUCAGUGUCUGCCAGACGCUCUUGAAUAA